rnacentral:tRNA from 1 species
GGGUCGUUAGCUCAGUUGGUAGAGCAGCGGACUUUUAAUCCGUAGGUCGAAGGUUCGAAUCCUUCACGACCCACCA